rnacentral:rRNA from 1 species
UUACGGGAGGCAGCAGUGAGGAAUAUUGGGCAAUGGGCGCAAGCCUGACCCAGCGACGCCGCGUGGGCGAAGAAGGCCUUCGGGUUGUAAAGCCCUUUUCUGCCGGACGAGCGAGGACGGUACGGCAGGAAUCAGUCACGGCUAACUACGUGCCAGCAGCCGCGGUAAAACGUAGGUGGCAAGCGUUAUCCGGAAUCACUGGGCGUAAAGGGCAUCUAGGCGGUCUAUCAAGUUGCGUGUGAAAGCCUCCGGCUCAACCGGGGGAGGACAUGCAAAACUGAUCGGCUCGAGGGUCGGAGAGGGACGCGGAAUUCCCGGUGUAGUGGUGAAAUGCGUAGAGAUCGGGAGGAACACCAGUGGCGAAGGCGGCGUCCUGGCCGACACCUGACGCUGAAGUGCGAAAGCGUGGGGAGCAAACGGGAUUAGAUACCCGUGUAGUCCA